UACGAAGGGGGCUAGCGUUGCUCGGAAUCACUGGGCGUAAAGCGCUCGUAGGCGGCCUCUUAAGUCGGCGGUGAAAUCCUGGAGCUCAACUCCAGAACUGCCUUCGAUACUGAGAGUCUCGAGUCCGGGAGAGGUGAGUGGAACUGCGAGUGUAGAGGUGAAAUGCGUAGAUAUUCGCAAGAACACCAGUGGCGAAGGCGGCUCACUGGCCCGGUACUGACGCUGAGGUGCGAAAGCGUGGGGAGCAAACAGG
rnacentral:rRNA from 1 species